GAGGUAGCCACUGCCUACCUCUCCAGGUUGGCCUGAGGAUAAAAGCACCCCAGGCCACCUGUUCCACCGCCACCACUGCUCCCGGAUGGAGGGAUUCGUCCUGGCCCGCAGCAGCUCGGGUGUCGAUGUCACCGAUCGGCAGGUGCCAAACUUCCUGCAACGGAAACCCAGGAAGUGCGCUGGAUGAGAACACACGCCCUUUGUCUGCCAGCUCAGAGGCUCUGCUGCCCUCCGCCCUCCCUGCCAGGCUCACAACGGCUUUCUUCUCCCUUAGAUGGCUCCAGCAGGCAAGGGGCUCAAUCUUCUAUUAGGAUGGUGGCAGCUGAGACCCUGAGUGGCAGGGAAGGGGUGGAAGAGAGGUUUGAGGGCAAGUCUGCUUGCCGGGGCGGGGGUGGCACCUCCACAGUGGAGAGCUUUGACUGAGCAGACACUGACCGGGCACCUACUGUGUGCAAUGCAUGAGUCAAGGAGCCGACGGGAUCAAAUCAGACAUGAUCAGUCCUUGUCCCCACAGUCCUUACAGGGAGAUUGGGUAGAGCAAACCAUAAAGCAAAUUAACAUAACAAUAACCAAUAGUAAAAGGUGCUAUGAAGGAAUGGACAAGGGGUCU
rnacentral:lncRNA from 10 species